rnacentral:lncRNA from 1 species
GUGAGAUCCUCAUGUCUCUCUCUGUUAUCUUUCCCCAGGCCUAGCACAGUGCAUGGCACUAAACUAGUUUGCAAAAUGUGUUUACUGAAUGAACGAUUGCCCCUGAGACUAUCUUUGAAUGGUUUGUAACCAAGAACUUAUAUGAGAGAUUCUGUGAAGCUAUGGUUUCCAGAGACCUGGAUUUUUUCAGUGUGCUUCCGUUUCCAUUAAAGCAGUAGCUGAGAGUCGUGUUAUGAUUCAGAGGAAGGAUCCUGGACAUUUCCCGCUCAUGAUAAUAAUCUUAAAUUGAGCACAUCCAACCACAGAGGACGGAUUAGUUGGCUAUUUUUUUUUAAAGGUGUCUGGAUCCAGUGAUGUAAACGUCAAAACUUAUCAAGUCUUGGUGACAGAAAUGCCUCCCCCCUCACUUCGUGAAGAGCAGUUCCGGAUCUGGCAUCUGAGCUGCUCCUGCUGUUGCCAGGCCUGUAGCAGUGUCCAUGGCUACAGUUUUGCAGAGCUGUAAGGGAACACAGAUUGCCGAAGAAGGCUGAGAUCCAAUAUGGCUGUGAGGUGAGAGGGAAAGGGCUCAGGCAAGCCAAGUUGUGACCAGAUUGUGAUGAGCCCUGAAUGCUGUAAGAGUUCUGAACUUUACCCUAUAUCCAGGAGACAAUGGGAAACCAGCCAAGGAAGUUUGAAGUAAGUGUGUGUGUGUGUGUGUGUGUGUGUUGA